ensembl:ncRNA T19E7.24 ncRNA
AAGGCCAGCUUCUGGAAGUCAAUGUUUAUUUGAUAAUUGUCUUAUUUUGUCCAAUUAUCCGCGUUAUGUCGUUGAUUUAGGCUCAUUUUAAGCCGCUAAGUAGCCAAGUUCGGCUUAAAAUGUAUCUAAAUCGACGAAAAGGGGACAAAAAGCAAAAUAAGACAAUCAAGAAGUAAAAGUCAAUUUUCAAUAGCUGGAAAAGAUAAAAUUGGAGAUUUACGCU